GAAUAUGAAGCAAUAUAUUGCAAUUAGUUUCGACCUAAUAUUAGGGGAAAUUUCCCCCUUAUUCU
rnacentral:tRNA from 1 species